GAGGAUUUAGCUCAGUGGUAGAGCGCUUGCCUAGCAAGCACAAGGCCCUGGGUUCAGUCCCCAGCUCU
rfam:Rattus norvegicus chromosome 10, whole genome shotgun sequence.